rnacentral:rRNA from 1 species
UUAAGCGACUAAGCGUACACGGUGGAUGCCCUGGCAGUCAGAGGCGAUGAAGGACGUGCUAAUCUGCGAUAAGCGUCGGUAAGGUGAUAUGAACCGUUAUAACCGGCGAUUUCCGAAUGGGGAAACCCAGUGUGUUUCGACACACUAUCAUUAACUGAAUCCAUAGGUUAAUGAGGCGAACCGGGGGAACUGAAACAUCUAAGUACCCCGAGGAAAAGAAAUCAACCGAGAUUCCCCCAGUAGCGGCGAGCGAACGGGGAGCAGCCCAGAGCCUGAAUCAGUAUGUGUGUUAGUGGAAGCGUCUGGAAAGGCGCGCGAUACAGGGUGACAGCCCCGUACACAAAAAUGCACAUAUUGUGAGCUCGAUGAGUAGGGCGGGACACGUGGUAUCCUGUCUGAAUAUGGGGGGACCAUCCUCCAAGGCUAAAUACUCCUGACUGACCGAUAGUGAACCAGUACCGUGAGGGAAAGGCGAAAAGAACCCCGGCGAGGGGAGUGAAAAAGAACCUGAAACCGUGUACGUACAAGCAGUGGGAGCACGCUUAGGCGUGUGACUGCGUACCUUUUGUAUAAUGGGUCAGCGACUUAUAUUCUGUAGCAAGGUUAACCGAAUAGGGGAGCCGAAGGGAAACCGAGUCUUAACUGGGCGUUAAGUUGCAGGGUAUAGACCCGAAACCCGGUGAUCUAGCCAUGGGCAGGUUGAAGGUUGGGUAACACUAACUGGAGGACCGAACCGACUAAUGUUGAAAAAUUAGCGGAUGACUUGUGGCUGGGGGUGAAAGGCCAAUCAAACCGGGAGAUAGCUGGUUCUCCCCGAAAGCUAUUUAGGUAGCGCCUCGUGAACUCAUCUCCGGGGGUAGAGCACUGUUUCGGCAAGGGGGUCAUCCCGACUUACCAACCCGAUGCAAACUGCGAAUACCGGAGAAUGUUAUCACGGGAGACACACGGCGGGUGCUAACGUCCGUCGUGAAGAGGGAAACAACCCAGACCGCCAGCUAAGGUCCCAAAGUCAUGGUUAAGUGGGAAACGAUGUGGGAAGGCCCAGACAGCCAGGAUGUUGGCUUAGAAGCAGCCAUCAUUUAAAGAAAGCGUAAUAGCUCACUGGUCGAGUCGGCCUGCGCGGAAGAUGUAACGGGGCUAAACCAUGCACCGAAGCUGCGGCAGCGACACUAUGUGUUGUUGGGUAGGGGAGCGUUCUGUAAGCCUGUGAAGGUGUGCUGUGAGGCAUGCUGGAGGUAUCAGAAGUGCGAAUGCUGACAUAAGUAACGAUAAAGCGGGUGAAAAGCCCGCUCGCCGGAAGACCAAGGGUUCCUGUCCAACGUUAAUCGGGGCAGGGUGAGUCGACCCCUAAGGCGAGGCCGAAAGGCGUAGUCGAUGGGAAACAGGUUAAUAUUCCUGUACUUGGUGUUACUGCGAAGGGGGGACGGAGAAGGCUAUGUUGGCCGGGCGACGGUUGUCCCGGUUUAAGCGUGUAGGCUGGUUUUCCAGGCAAAUCCGGAAAAUCAAGGCUGAGGCGUGAUGACGAGGCACUACGGUGCUGAAGCAACAAAUGCCCUGCUUCCAGGAAAAGCCUCUAAGCAUCAGGUAACAUCAAAUCGUACCCCAAACCGACACAGGUGGUCAGGUAGAGAAUACCAAGGCGCUUGAGAGAACUCGGGUGAAGGAACUAGGCAAAAUGGUGCCGUAACUUCGGGAGAAGGCACGCUGAUAUGUAGGUGAAGUCCCUCGCGGAUGGAGCUGAAAUCAGUCGAAGAUACCAGCUGGCUGCAACUGUUUAUUAAAAACACAGCACUGUGCAAACACGAAAGUGGACGUAUACGGUGUGACGCCUGCCCGGUGCCGGAAGGUUAAUUGAUGGGGUCAGCGCAAGCGAAGCUCUUGAUCGAAGCCCCGGUAAACGGCGGCCGUAACUAUAACGGUCCUAAGGUAGCGAAAUUCCUUGUCGGGUAAGUUCCGACCUGCACGAAUGGCGUAAUGAUGGCCAGGCUGUCUCCACCCGAGACUCAGUGAAAUUGAACUCGCUGUGAAGAUGCAGUGUACCCGCGGCAAGACGGAAAGACCCCGUGAACCUUUACUAUAGCUUGACACUGAACAUUGAGCCUUGAUGUGUAGGAUAGGUGGGAGGCUUUGAAGUGUGGACGCCAGUCUGCAUGGAGCCGACCUUGAAAUACCACCCUUUAAUGUUUGAUGUUCUAACGUUGACCCGUAAUCCGGGUUGCGGACAGUGUCUGGUGGGUAGUUUGACUGGGGCGGUCUCCUCCUAAAGAGUAACGGAGGAGCACGAAGGUUGGCUAAUCCUGGUCGGACAUCAGGAGGUUAGUGCAAUGGCAUAAGCCAGCUUGACUGCGAGCGUGACGGCGCGAGCAGGUGCGAAAGCAGGUCAUAGUGAUCCGGUGGUUCUGAAUGGAAGGGCCAUCGCUCAACGGAUAAAAGGUACUCCGGGGAUAACAGGCUGAUACCGCCCAAGAGUUCAUAUCGACGGCGGUGUUUGGCACCUCGAUGUCGGCUCAUCACAUCCUGGGGCUGAAGUAGGUCCCAAGGGUAUGGCUGUUCGCCAUUUAAAGUGGUACGCGAGCUGGGUUUAGAACGUCGUGAGACAGUUCGGUCCCUAUCUGCCGUGGGCGCUGGAGAACUGAGGGGGGCUGCUCCUAGUACGAGAGGACCGGAGUGGACGCAUCACUGGUGUUCGGGUUGUCAUGCCAAUGGCACUGCCCGGUAGCUAAAUGCGGAAGAGAUAAGUGCUGAAAGCAUCUAAGCACGAAACUUGCCCCGAGAUGAGUUCUCCCUGACCCUUUAAGGGUCCUGAAGGAACGUUGAAGACGACGACGUUGAUAGGCCGGGUGUGUAAGCGCAGCGAUGCGUUGAGCUAACCGGUACUAAUGAACCGUGAGGCUUAACCUU